GCCCCAACUCCCACCCAGGCUCAUGCUGUGGCAGAGGUUGAUGGAGAGCCACACUCAUUCUCUCCCACUCUCCCCAUGGGCACAUUCUCCGAAAAGCAUGAAAAUGGAGCUGCAUCACACAUCCUAAGACACAGUCAGACCUCCACCAGGCAGUUCAGGAAGGAAGAGGAACUUCUUUCCCAAGAGCAGCUGCCAUGAGAAGAGCAGCUUGCUCCACUGAGUGCUCCCCAUGAUGAUGUGCUGCCUCACCACAGCCCCAAAGGCAAAAGGGCGAAGUGUCCAUGGACUGAAACCUCUGGAACCAUGAGCCAAAAUAAACCCUUCCUCUUUGUAAGUUGA